rnacentral:rRNA from 1 species
ACGUAGGGAGCAAGCGUUGUCCGGAAUUACUGGGCGUAAAGGGCGCGUAGGCGGGGAUUUAAGUAAGGUGUGAAAACUAUGGGCUCAACCCAUAGCCUGCAUCUUAAACUGGAUCUCUUGAGGGCAGGAGAGGAAAGUGGAAUUCCUAGUGUAGCGGUGAAAUGCGUAGAUAUUAGGAGGAACACCAGUGGCGAAGGCGACUUUCUGGACUGUACCUGACGCUGAGGCGCGAAAGCGUGGGGAGCGAACAG